rnacentral:rRNA from 1 species
AUUGAACGCUGGCGGCAGGCCUAACACAUGCAAGUCGAACGAGUGGCGGACGGGUGAGUAAUGUCUGGGAAACUGCCUGAUGGAGGGGGAUAACUACUGGAAACGGUAGCUAAUACCACAUACCAUCGGAUGUGCCCAGAUGGGAUUAGCUAGUAGGUGGGGUAAAGGCUCACCUAGGCGACGAUCCCUAGCUGGUCUGAGAGGAUGACCAACCACACGGGAACUGAGACACGGUCCAGACUCCUACGGGAGGCAGCAGUUGGGAAUAUUGCACAAGGGGCACAAGCCUGAUUGAGCCAUGCCGCGUGUAUGAAGAAGGCCUUCGGGUUGUAAAGUACUUUCAGCGGGGAAGCGUUACCCGCAGAAGAAGCACCGGCUAACUCCGUGCCAGCAGCCGCGGUAAUUC